rnacentral:rRNA from 1 species
UACGGGGGGGGCAAGCGUUGUUCGGAAUUACUGGGCGUAAAGGGCGUGUAGGCGGCCAACUAAGUCCGACGUGAAAUCCCCAGGCUUAACCUGGGAACUGCGUCGGAUACUGGAUGGCUUGAAUUCGGGAGAGGGAUGCAGAAUUCCAGGUGUAGCGGUGAAAUGCGCAGAUAUCGGGAGGAACACCGGUGGCGAAGGCGGUUCUCUGGGCCUUACCUGACGCUGAGGAGCGAAAGCGUGGGGAGCGAACAGG